UUCUGAUCUGAUCACGUAGAGAAACUCCAAGCCUAUCUCUAUAAGCCCGCUGAGUAACUCUGAGCUUUCUAAUCAGGCCCAUAGUUUUU